CGGACAGGGGGGUUCCUGCCUCGCCGGCAGGGCCUGUCCGACGAGGUCACGCGAAGGCGUGGCCAGUGGUUGUCGCUCGGGGGUGAUCGCCG
ncrna:Streptomyces sp. CNS615 che1 RNA